GACGAGGGAUCCUAGCGUUGUUCGGAAUUAUUGGGCGUAAAGCGGGUGCAUGUGGCUUUGUAAGUCAGGUGUGAAAUCCCAGGGCUCAACCCUGGAAGUGCAUUUGAUACUGCGAAGCUUGAGUGCUGGAGAGGUAAGUAGAAUACCUGGUGUAGUGGUGAAAUACGUAGAUAUCAGGUGGAAUACCGGAGGCGAAGGCGGCUUACUGGCCAGACACUGACACUCAGACCCGAAAGCGUGGGGAUCAAACAGG
rnacentral:rRNA from 1 species